GAUUAAGUUAUUAAGGGCGCACGGUGGAUGCCUUGGCACUAGAAGCCGAUGAAGGACGUUACUAACGACGAUAUGCUUUGGGGAGCUGUAAGUAAGCUUUGAUCCAGAGAUUUCCGAAUGGGGAAACCCAGCAUGAGUUAUGUCAUGUUAUCGAUAUGUGAAUACAUAGCAUAUCAGAAGGCACACCCGGAGAACUGAAACAUCUUAGUACCCGGAGGAAGAGAAAGAAAAUUCGAUUCCCUUAGUAGCGGCGAGCGAAAUGGGAAGAGCCCAAACCAACAAGCUUGCUUGUUGGGGUUGUAGGACACUCUAUACGGAGUUACAAAGGACGACAUUAGACGAAUCAUCUGGAAAGAUGAAUCAAAGAAGGUAAUAAUCCUGUAGUCGAAAAUGUUGUCUCUCUUGAGUGGAUCCUGAGUACGACGGAGCACGUGAAAUUCCGUCGGAAUCUGGGAGGACCAUCUCCUAAGGCUAAAUACUCUCUAGUGACCGAUAGUGAACCAGUACCGUGAGGGAAAGGUGAAAAGCACCCCGGAAGGGGAGUGAAAUAGAACCUGAAACCGUGUGCUUACAAGUAGUCAGAGCCCGUUAAUGGGUGAUGGCGUGCCUUUUGUAGAAUGAACCGGCGAGUUACGAUUUGAUGCAAGGUUAAGCAGUAAAUGUGGAGCCGUAGCGAAAGCGAGUCUGAAUAGGGCGUUUAGUAUUUGGUCGUAGACCCGAAACCAGGUGAUCUACCCUUGGUCAGGUUGAAGUUCAGGUAACACUGAAUGGAGGACCGAACCGACUUACGUUGAAAAGUGAGCGGAUGAACUGAGGGUAGCGGAGAAAUUCCAAUCGAACCUGGAGAUAGCUGGUUCUCUCCGAAAUAGCUUUAGGGCUAGCCUCAAGUGAUGAUUAUUGGAGGUAGAGCACUGUUUGGACGAGGGGCCCCUCUCGGGUUACCGAAUUCAGACAAACUCCGAAUGCCAAUUAAUUUAACUUGGGAGUCAGAACAUGGGUGAUAAGGUCCGUGUUCGAAAGGGAAACAGCCCAGACCACCAGCUAAGGUCCCAAAAUAUAUGUUAAGUGGAAAAGGAUGUGGCGUUGCCCAGACAACUAGGAUGUUGGCUUAGAAGCAGCCAUCAUUUAAAGAGUGCGUAAUAGCUCACUAGUCGAGUGACACUGCGCCGAAAAUGUACCGGGGCUAAACAUAUUACCGAAGCUGUGGAUUGUCCUUUGGACAAUGGUAGGAGAGCGUUCUAAGGGCGUUGAAGCAUGAUCGUAAGGACAUGUGGAGCGCUUAGAAGUGAGAAUGCCGGUGUGAGUAGCGAAAGACGGGUGAGAAUCCCGUCCACCGAUUGACUAAGGUUUCCAGAGGAAGGCUCGUCCGCUCUGGGUUAGUCGGGUCCUAAGCUGAGGCCGACAGGCGUAGGCGAUGGAUAACAGGUUGAUAUUCCUGUACCACCUAUAAUCGUUUUAAUCGAUGGGGGGACGCAGUAGGAUAGGCGAAGCGUGCGAUUGGAUUGCACGUCUAAGCAGUAAGGCUGAGUAUUAGGCAAAUCCGGUACUCGUUAAGGCUGAGCUGUGAUGGGGAGAAGACAUUGAGUCUUCGAGUCGUUGAUUUCACACUGCCGAGAAAAGCCUCUAGAUAGAAAAUAGGUGCCCGUACCGCAAACCGACACAGGUAGUCAAGAUGAGAAUUCUAAGGUGAGCGAGCGAACUCUCGUUAAGGAACUCGGCAAAAUGACCCCGUAACUUCGGGAGAAGGGGUGCUCUUUAGGGUUAACGCCCAGAAGAGCCGCAGUGAAUAGGCCCAAGCGACUGUUUAUCAAAAACACAGGUCUCUGCUAAACCGUAAGGUGAUGUAUAGGGGCUGACGCCUGCCCGGUGCUGGAAGGUUAAGAGGAGUGGUUAGCUUCUGCGAAGCUACGAAUCGAAGCCCCAGUAAACGGCGGCCGUAACUAUAACGGUCCUAAGGUAGCGAAAUUCCUUGUCGGGUAAGUUCCGACCCGCACGAAAGGCGUAACGAUUUGGGCACUGUCUCAACGAGAGACUCGGUGAAAUCAUAGUACCUGUGAAGAUGCAGGUUACCCGCGACAGGACGGAAAGACCCCGUGGAGCUUUACUGUAGCCUGAUAUUGAAAUUCGGCACAGCUUGUACAGGAUAGGUAGGAGCCUUUGAAACGUGAGCGCUAGCUUACGUGGAGGCGCUGGUGGGAUACUACCCUAGCUGUGUUGGCUUUCUAACCCGCACCACUUAUCGUGGUGGGAGACAGUGUCAGGCGGGCAGUUUGACUGGGGCGGUCGCCUCCUAAAAGGUAACGGAGGCGCUCAAAGGUUCCCUCAGAAUGGUUGGAAAUCAUUCAUAGAGUGUAAAGGCAUAAGGGAGCUUGACUGCGAGACCUACAAGUCGAGCAGGGUCGAAAGACGGACUUAGUGAUCCGGUGGUUCCGCAUGGAAGGGCCAUCGCUCAACGGAUAAAAGCUA
rnacentral:rRNA from 1 species